CCUCCUCUCAGCUGCUUUCUUCCUGAUGAAAAAGCCCCAUCUCAUUGCAGCCUUAAUUUUUAGCCAGCCAACAACUGCUUUCCCAGAACGGGUGCGAUCCUCAUCAUAACUGUAGUUUGGAGAUGGCGAUGGCAUGUAAGAUUGGAAAGCAAAAUUAUCAUCAGGCACAUUAACAGCUGCAUGGCCUCCCAUGCUGAAAAGUCUAAGUAGGUGUUGCAUAUCUUCAUUCUCGAGCAUCUCAUGGCUUCUCAAACGAAUUUCCUCCUCCGACAAGAAGUCAUCCACACUCUUGUCACGAUUUUGAGUCCAGUCUUCAAAAGGAUUGAGGUUGGAUGGCUGAACAGAUGACCCAACUGUCUGGAAUGAUGAUGAUGACUGUGGAGGAGCAAGGGCCAAUGCUGCCCUAUUAUCAUAUCUUGUGUUCUGAAUUUGGUGAGAACUGCUGAUUUGCUGGUCAGGUAAACCAUAUGGAGUACUACCAUAUUGAUUGCGGGAACUUGAAUUCAGAAUUUGAGACUGGUUAGCAUAUCUGGUAGCCAUAUUAUCAUUAUAACCUGACCACGAGAUAGUAGUAGUAAAGGUUACAGUAAGAUGUAAAGUGGCCAACAAAAGUAACAUUGCAUAACCACAAAACAUACCGGUAAAUGUGUAUAUGUAAAUGAAGUUGAGAGAAGAUACUACACAAUGUAAAUGGAAAAAUCAUAGGGAGGAAAAGGUAAUUAGCCCCCAGUUUUGUACCACUAGAAACCAAGAGAUCAGAACAGAAAACAUCCCUAAUGAAAUGUAUUCAAAUCUCCUCUCUUUAUUUACCCCUUUUCAAAUAGAAGAUAGACUCAUAAGCAACAAAGGAGGAGGAUUUCUCGAUCCCAAAGGAGAUAUAUAAGCCAGCAUCAAUCUUAGCACAUAUUGCCUCCAUCUCAUAUGAAUGUUUCACAUUGACUACUCACUAGGGUUCAGAAAAAGUUCAAGAUACAAAAAAACAUAAAAAGAAAAGGGGAAACAAGUUGUUCCAUACACCAGAUCAUGUCCAUGCACUAUAUCCUCUAAUACAUCCUUCCCUAGGUAUUCUUGAUAUCAUGAUUGAUGGUAUCCAAUCUUCUCACUCCAAACCACAAGCGUUGGAUCCUUUUCACCAAAUUCUGCUACAAUGCCUCAACCCUUAGGGUGGAACAUAUCAGAGAGAGCAAAGCCAUAUUAUCCUACCCAACCGGAAACAUUACCCAAGUUCUCUGAUAAAUGCAUAUACUUCAAUGUUCAGGACGGACAAAAAAUGAAAUAAGAAAAAGAAAAGAAAACAUAUGGAUCUUACAGGGCAAAGGACAAGAGAAGCUGGGAACAAGUUCAACAACAUGGAAAACAAUCAUGUUGACCUGAUAUUAUAGUUUACCCAACUCAAAUAAAAGUAAAAGGUGCCUAUGCUAGGUCCAAGAGAUUAAUAUGAAAUGUUAAUAGUUUACCUAACUGAAAUGUUACUAUGGCUUCAUUACUUUAGAAUAUGAUGCAUCUUCCCAUUAGAUUGCUUUACUUGUACAUGUUGUUCGAGAAAACAUUUGGGAAAAUGGGGUUGACAUUAGGAGAUUACAGAUGCAUAUAUCUUGUACAAAAAGCAAACCAGUCAUCCACUGCAUGCUCAAAAGGUAGCAAACCAGAUAGCAGUUCAUUUGAUAUUCUAUAAGUUGACUUUACCUCCAAUCAGCAUGUUUGGAUCCACUGGAGAUGGCUCAGAUGGAACUGGUACUGGUAAUCGGGGCGGAUCUGAAAGCUGAUUAUCCAAAGCAUUAGGAUAAUCCACUGGCCCAACUGGAAGUUCAUCCCGGGAUGCACUUGAUUUCUUAUUUUGCUUGAAGUUCAGAAGAGACUUGCCAUCAUACUCUAUAACUAGGUUCCAGUUGUCAUAUGCUUUCUUUACCAAACCAUCAACAUAUAACUACAGGUAGAAGAAAUGAAAAUUCUGUUAAUAUGCACAACUUUUGCUAUGCCAAUGAAAUUUAGAUAUUGGUAAUUUUGGGAGCUUCCCCAACCAAAUUUAGUACAGACCUUCUGGCUGUCAGAAAGUGAAUCUGCUGGAAAAUACUGUUCACUAGCUAUAAGGCCACUCAGCUCAUAGAUGUUAUUGAAGACAACACCAACAUUUCUUGAAUCAUCAGAAUAGUAUACAUAAAGCUUCCCACUUAGGACACAAGUCUUUGCAUGCUCUAUGAGGGCGUCCCACAUUUUAUUUGACAUACCACUGCCAAGAAUCUGCUCUAACACCAAAAGAAUAUGUCAAAUACCAAUAAGGCAUGUUUCUCUUAUACUGGAAGCAGGGAUAGUAUAGUAGACUUACAGUUCGCAGCUUCUGAGGGUCUGUGACCACAAGCCUAAGGAAGUGUUCAACUGAAAAUAUCCCUGCAUUGUUUAGUCUUUUAUGGAAUGAUCCAUCCUUGCCAAUCUUCUCCAAUCUCCAUACAUCAUCAUUCAACGCAGGUGGAUAAUGCUUUUUGUACACUGCAACAAGGAAAGAAAACUUUUUAACCAAUUAUCAAAGUUAACAAGCAAAUAAGUCAACCAACAAGUAUCAUCAAGCAGCCUACAUUCCCCUCUGUGAUCUUUGACAGUGAAAGCCUCAGUCUUUGCUUCACGAACUCGUAUGCCUUCACAAUAUCCUGAUGCAACCUUGAGGCCAAGUCUGAACUUCCUACUCCUUAUCCAACUUGAAUUAUCAGUGAAGGUAAGCUCUCCUAAAGUUCCCACACCUUCCUUGAGUGUCACUUGUAGAUCGCCAGUCAACAAUGGUCUCUUUCCUUCCCGCUCUUUCACAACAUGGCUUUCAAAUUCUUCUUGAGUCCAGCUUUCAUUAUCUUCAGUGUUAAAAUCACCUUCUAGCACAAUAACAUCCAGCUUAACACACGAUUCAGGUCCAGAAGUGACAACAUGCCCUGUAUUUGCGUCAAUCAAGACAACAUGAAUUGCAGCUCCCUGCUCCCCUUCUACUUUACC
rnacentral:lncRNA from 1 species